CGAGCUGGCCGGGCGACCGCGGCGCACCCCUGGCGGGUGCGUCGAGGAAGGUCCGGGCUCCGCAGGGCAAGGUGGUGGGCAACACCCACCCGGGGUGACCCGCGGGACAGUGCCACAGAGAACAGACCGCCCCUCCCCGGAGGGGCAAGGGUGAAACGGUGGUGUAAGAGACCACCAGCGCUCCGGGUGACCGGAGCGGCUCGGUAAACCCCACCUGGAGCAAGAUCGAGAAGCCGGGCCUCCGGGCCCGGUGCGCACACGUUCGAGGGCGGCCCGCCCGAGUGUGCGGGUGGAUCGCACGAGGCGGCCGGCAACGGUCGUCCAAGAUGGAUGGUCGCCAACCGGCCGGUCGCGAGGCCGGCCGGCGAACAGAACCCGGCCUAUGAGCCAGCUCGUCCG
rnacentral:RNase_P_RNA from 1 species